UACGGGGGGGGCAAGCGUUGUUCGGAAUUACUGGGCGUAAAGGGCUCGUAGGUGCCAACUAAGUCGGACGUGAAAUCCCUCGGCUUAACCGGGGAACUGCGUCCGAUACUGGUUGGCUUGAGUUUGGGAGAGGGAUGCGGAAUUCCAGGUGUAGCGGUGAAAUGCGUAGAUAUCUGGAAGAACACCGGUGGCGAAGGCGGUCAACUGGCCCUCAACUGACGCUGAGGCACGAAAGCGUGGGGAUCAAACAGG
rnacentral:rRNA from 1 species